GAAAUGCGAUAAGUAAUGUGAAUUGCAGAAUUCCGUGAAUCAUCGAAUCUUUGAACGCAUAUUGCGCUCUGUGGUAUUCCGCAGAGCAUGCCUGUUUGAGUAUCAGAAACCCCUCUCACUCCAAAUUGUGCUUGUCAUAGUUUGGAAUUCCAAGUGAGGAGAUGAGCGCUUCUUUGACCACCCCAAGCAAUUGAGGCAGCAAAGCCGCUUGAAAUAUAGUGAACUGGGAAAACUAUUAUACCCUUGGCUAAACAACGAUGUAUAUCAUCGCUCCAGUAAGCUUUGGGCGGUUCUUCCUAGGCGCCCUUUUUUUAAAUUAGGGCUUAACUUUUAUUCUGAAUCUUGAUCUCAAAUCAGGCAAGACUACCCGCUGAACUUAA
rnacentral:misc_RNA from 1 species